rnacentral:rRNA from 1 species
AGCGAACGCUGGCGGCAGGCCUAACACAUGCAAGUCGAACGAAGUCUUCGGACUUAGUGGCAGACGGGUGAGUAACACGUGGGAACGUGCCUUUAGGUUCGGAAUAACUCAGGGAAACUUGUGCUAAUACCGAAUGUGCCCUUCGGGGGAAAGAUUUAUCGCCUUUAGAGCGGCCCGCGUCUGAUUAGCUAGUUGGUGAGGUAAAGGCUCACCAAGGCUACGAUCAGUAGCUGGUCUGAGAGGAUGACCAGCCACAUUGGGACUGAGACACGGCCCAAACUCCUACGGGAGGCAGCAGUGGGGAAUCUUGCGCAAUGGGCGAAAGCCUGACGCAGCCAUGCCGCGUGGAUGAUGAAGGUCUUAGGAUUGUAAAAUUCUUUUACCAGGGGCGAUAAUGACGGUACCUGGAGAAAAAGCCCCGGCUAACUUCGUGCCAGCCGCCGCCGUAAUAC